ACAACGAUAUUCUCGAAGCUGUACAAGGCUUAAGAUAAGGAAAAGAUUCAAGUUCUUCUCCUUCUGCAUUGCCGACUCGACUUCAAGAAGAAGUUGUAAGAAGUCUUCGAAAACGCAAGUCUCCUACAAGGAAGUCCUCCUCACUUCCUUAAAAUGUCAAACCAUCUCCUGGACUCGAGAUAGAUUCUUCCCACUUUGAGGCUACGGAAAAUGUGCAAUUGGAUCAUCCAUAUUCUCUCCAAUCAGCUCAAGUAAUUAAGGAGAAGCUCCAAUGGCAAAUGAAUAUGAUUUCCGAGCUUGCAGACCGUUCUAAAAAAAUAUAGAUACCUUGAGAAGCCAUGUUGCAUCAGAACCAACAAUAAACUAGAAUCAUUUUACUACAAAAAUCUUUGCUACUAUUUAUUUUUUGAAAAUAAAAAUAUAAUAUACACAUGAUAUUUAAGACCUUUGAAUCAUUGAUUCUUAAAAAGAAUAUCAAAGGAACAUUGAGUAAAACUUGGAUCACUAUCCACAUUCGAAUACCAGUUUCGAAUGGUACUGAGACUAAGUAGGCAUAAGGUCUUUCUUACAUAACUAUAUCAUCUCGUUUGAGAUUCCUUACACAUUGUCUGCACCUCUCUGGAUUCUGGGUCGGAAAACGAUGAUAUGAAAUUGAAUUGCCAGCAGCAUACGUGUUUUUGCAACCAAAUGCGACACAAGACAAUGUCAUCCUCGACUUGUAUGCACCAAUCAUUUGCAUUAACUUAUUAAUGAAUAAAUAAAGUCACUAAAGAGUGUUUAGUAUAAAUUGGUACUCAAGAUGGCUGCCAACAGCAGAAGGGUAACUCAUUCUUUUUCUCCGUUUUAUUCUAUAGGUUGUGCACCCAGUUAUUAUAUAGGUCGUGGGUCUCCCCGGAUAAAUAAACAAACAAAUAGUUAUAUAGACGGACAAACUUUGCUUUAUUAAUAUAGAUUUUGGAUUUGAUUGUUAUAUGUAUUAAAUUGAAUAAAUCGUCUUAGAAUUCACCGUAUUUAGCUAUUCUCUAGCGCCGGAAUGUAUUUGCAAGUAGGGAGACCAAAUUAUGGAAUGGUAACGUCAUUACUCAUUUUAAAGGGCUAGUACGUACAACGUCUUCAGGAAUAUUUUGCCAAAGCAGCUGCCAUGUUGAGCCGGAAAAUUACAUUGUUCUCGUAGUCGAUCGUACAUUUCAAAGUCAAAGAUCAGUGUUCGUAGGGGUUCCAUUGUGGUAGAUGUAGCAAUAUUUCUGAUUCUAGCAACAAGAUAUCGGCGUCUGCGGGAUUAUACAGUGGUAGACAAAACGUGGACUUAAGAGAUGGAUUUAGAAGUACAUCAAUAAUUUUAUAUUUUCAAUAAUAGACAAAAAAAAAAAAAAAUAUUAACAAAAUAUGUAGACAAAGUUUUGACAAAACCUUUUUAACUCAAUAUGGCCACCUUCAUUGUCAAUCACAGCCUUUACACGUCUUUAUGAAGGCCAUGCAGGAAUUAAUGACAAAUUGCCUCAUGGUACCACCAUGGGGGAUUUCAGUGAGACCACAUUGGGGUGUGAGGUCCUAUUGGUUUCCCUCUUUAAAGUGCCUAGAACACUUAACAAUGUCCGUUUUCUUCAUUACAUCAACUCCAGCAUCUAGGAGAUCUGAGAUGCGCUGCCUUUUUGCGUAUACCUCGCUCAUGAUGAUAAAAUGACUAAAUGGUUAGUAUAGUUUAGUUUAUUUUAAAAGGACGACAGAAACAGAAUAUCAAAAAUAAAUAAAAAUCACUCAAUCUUUUCAUAGUAAUGAGCAAAUAAA
rnacentral:lncRNA from 1 species